CGCCAAACAGCUAGCCCACCCAAACAAUUUCAACAAGCCCCUGUUAAUAACCCCCAAAUACCCCAGUAUUUUAAUUAAACAAACCAUUUUUCCCCCUUAGUAUAGGUGAUAGAAAAGGGAUUAGGCGCAAUAGAGAAAGUACCGCAAGGGAAUGCUGAAAGAGAAAUGAAACAACCCAGUAAAGCCUAAAAAAGCAGAGACUCAAGCUCGUACCUUUUGCAUCAUGAUUUAGCGAGUGUACCCCAAGCAAAGAGUAUUUUAGUUUGACGCCCCGAAACUACGUGAGCUACUCCAAGACAGCCUAUUAAUAGGGCACACCCGUCUCUGUAGCAAAAGAGUGGGGAGAGCUUUGAGUAGAGGUGAUAAACCUACCGAACCUAGUUAUAGCUGGUUGUCCAAGAAAUGAAUAGAAGUUCAGCCUCUUGGCUUCUCUUUUCACACUAGUUUAACCCCUACUGAUGCCUCAAGAAACCAAAAGAGUUAGUCAAAGGGGGUACAGCCCCUUUGAAUCAAGACACAACUUUAUCAGGCGGGUAAAGAUCAUA
rnacentral:rRNA from 1 species